AUUUUUUUCAAUACAGUAACAAGAUACAAAGUGUAAAAUGCAAAGAAAAUAAAAAUAAAAUGACUAACAUCAUGUAUAAAUAUUUUCCGAAAAAAGCACUACAUUUUAUUUGUUUGUUUAUUAUUAUUAUUAUUAUUAUUAUGUAUUACAAUAACUAGAUGCAAAAUGCAUAAAAUACACUUAAAUCUGAUUAGGUUAAAGUUUUGACAUGAAUCAUAUGACAUUUUAAAAGGGUCUCAUAACCUGAGUACACAGUGCAAUGUAAAUCUAAGAAAAGCUUUUGAAAAACAUUCAUAACAUAAAUAAUAAAAACCGUAUUUACAAACCAAACUGAAAGUUGAGAUCAAUGAUACGAGGCACAGUGUAUAAACAAGUUAAAGAUCAAACCUCAGAGAAGCCUUUGAGCCUCGUGUUUCAUCGGAGUUCAAACAUUCCGCUGCAGUAAUCUCUUUAUUUUCAUCAAAACAUAAAGAUACAAUGAAACAUUUGAACAAUCAGAGGUUCUGACAGACGUUGUUUGACACGGACCCUUUUGUGGCGUCAGCAGCGACGUGCGACGCGAUUGGCUGAGGCUUCGCGUCAGCUGAUCGCGGUCAUGUGAUGAUUCACAUGGCGGAAGUAUGUCUCGCUGAGUGUUUUCCAUUUGCCUUAGUAACAUUUCUGCAGGCAAAUGACACUAAAAUGUCGUUUCUGUUCGCGUGAAUUUGUUGGGUCUUCUGGUUUGUUGUGAUGUAGGAGAGUGCAGAAGAAGAAACGUGCUGCUCAUCAUUGUUUUUCUUUGGAAAGGUAUAAUUGGGAAAAAACAUGUUGGUUCAGGCCCUGUAUACCCGUUCGAUUUCGCCUACACGGAAGAGACCAGUUCUGUUCUGCAGGUGGGUUGGAAUAUCACCAAGAUCAAGCUCCUUGUCCGGAAAUUCUUCCAGAGCCAGAAAGCGGAGAGGAGUGAGACGGAAGAGGAACGGCCGUUCUUUCUCUACGUGGCGUUCCAUGAUCCUCACCGUUGUGGCCAUUCCCAGCCUCAGUAUGGAGUGUUCUGUGAAAAGUUUGGGAAUGGAGAGAGCGGAAUGGGGAGAAUUCCGGAUUGGGAGCCAAAGUAGUACUCUCCAGACCAGGUCAAGGUACCAUACUUUAUUCCAGGCACACCUGCAGCGAGGGCGGAUAUUGCGGCCCAAUACACAACGGUCAGCCGGCUGGACCAAGGUAUCGGUCUGGUUCUUCAAGAACUACGGGAUGCAGGAUUUGAAAAUGAAACUCUGGUGAUCUACAGCUUGGAUAACGGAAUUCCAUUCCCAAUGGUCGCACUAACCUGUACGGCUCAGGUGUGAGGGAACCCAUGCUGGUCUCCUCACCUGAACACCAGCAGCGUUGGGAACAGUUAAGCCAGGCUUACAUCAGUCUGCUGGGUAAGAGCCCAUCAACAGCUUGAUUAAUUAAUAUCAGGAACGUGUAAAUAAACAAAUGUGCACAGCACAAAGUCUAUCAUGGGCUUGAGUUGUGCUGUAACCGCUUUUAACCACUAGAUGGAGCUGUACACCUGUUUAAGAAAGCACUGCACGCUCAUGCACUUGUGUCUGAGGUCAGAGUACAGAAAUACUGUUGUGGCAGAUUUGUUUAAGAAUACAUCAGUAUGAUAGUUAUUUGUAUUGGAAGUGAUUUGUACUAAAAUUUUUACAAAUAGCUAGUUAUUUGUAUCACUCUGAAACACAAAAUUUAACUCCUGCUCCUUUUGAAGCUCAUUUACGUAUUUUAGACCAAAUGAUAAUAAUGUACAAUAAUUUCUUUUUGUAUGAUAAUGAAAUGUGCCAUAUUAUUGCUGCACCUUUUUGUGCUUGCUUGUGUUGUUGAGUUUAGAUAAUAGUUUAGAUAGUAUACUGUAACUAUCUUUCUACCCAAUGACAGAUUGUUUUCAACGUAUUGUAUGAGUAUGACAAUUUCCUUUUUACUAAUUGCAUGUUUUUUCGUAAAGAUUUGGGGAAAUAGCUCUCACUAUUAAAUCUUUUUGCUUUUGUUUUUGUCUUUUGAGUCCAGAUAAUCGUACAGCUAUCUUUCUAGCGAAUGAAAUUGUUUCCGAAGUAAUGUAUGCGAAGGACUGAUUAUUUUUCUAUGAAUAGCAAGUUUAUGUUCAAAUUUAGAAAAAUUGCAUCUCACUAUUACACCUUUUUCCACUCGUUUUCAAGUCUAGAUAAUAUUACAGAUAUAUUUCUACCAUACAACAAAUUGUUACCAAUGUAGCAUAUGGGUAUGAAGAUGUUCGUACGAUAUUAUAAAAAGGCGUCCCUCAUUAUUGCAUAUUUUCAUGCUAGAUUCUGUGUUUAAGGUCACAUUUUUAUAUUUACUCAAAUGACUGCCAAUGUAACAUUUUAUAUUUUUACGAAACACAAGUUGUUCGUACUAUAUUAAAAAAUGGAGGCCCAUAUUAUUGCACUUGAUUCUGUUUAAGAUCAUAUCUUUCUAUUUACCGACAGAUUAUUACCAAUCUAACAACAUUUUCUUUCUAUUUGUACGAAUCACAAGUUGUGCAUACAAUAUUAAAAAUUGCGUCCCUCACUAUUGCACCUUUUCACACUUGAUUUUGUGUGUAAAUUCAUACCUUUAUAAUCUCACACAGAUUAUUGCCAGUGUAACGGCAUUUUCUGUUUUUACCACUUGUGAAUUAGAGCAAUUUUAAUAUAUUUUUAUAUAUGUCAUCUCAGAUACCUGUUGUUCUCAGGAACAACAUUUCAAAAUUUCAUUUUUGUAUUUAAAUUAUUAUUAUUAUUAUUAUUAUAUGCAUUACUUUUUGGUUAACAUUAUAAAAAAAUCAUUUUUGUAUUUAAUUAUAUUACUUUAAUAAUAAUAAUGUCGUCAUAUAACACUAAUAUUUAAAUGAUAAUAAUAGUUAUUAUUAUU
rnacentral:lncRNA from 1 species